AUUGAACGCUGGCGGCAGGCUUAACACAUGCAAGUCGAGCGGAGAUGAGGUGCUUGCACCUUAUCUUAGCGGCGGACGGGUGAGUAAUGCUUAGGAAUCUGCCUAUUAGUGGGGGACAACAUUCCGAAAGGAAUGCUAAUACCGCAUACGUCCUACGGGAGAAAGCAGGGGAUCUUCGGACCUUGCGCUAAUAGAUGAGCCUAAGUCGGAUUAGCUAGUUGGUGGGGUAAAGGCCUACCAAGGCGACGAUCUGUAGCGGGUCUGAGAGGAUGAUCCGCCAAACUGGGAAUGGGACACGGCCCAGACUCCUACGUGAGGCAGCAGUGGGGAAUAUGGGACAAUGGGGGGAACCCUGAUCCAGCCAUGCCGCGUGUGUGAAGAAGGCCUUAUGGUUGUAAAGCACUUUAAGCGAGGAGGAGGCUACUGAGACUAAUACUCUUGGAUAGUGGACGUUACUCGCAGAAUAAGCACCGGCUAACUCUGUGCCAGCAGCCGCCGUAA
rnacentral:rRNA from 1 species